UACGGGGGGGGCAAGCGUUGUUCGGAAUUACUGGGCGUAAAGGGCUCGUAGGCGGCCAACUAAGUCGGACGGGAAAUCCCUCGGCUUAACCGGGGAACUGCUUCCGAUACUGGAUGGCUUGAGUGUGGGAGAGGGAUGCGGAAUUCCAGGUGUAGCGGUGAAAUGCGUAGAUAUCUGGAGGAACACCGGUGGCGAAGGCGGCAUCCUGGACCAUUACUGACGCUGAGUGAGCGAAAGCCAGGGGAGCAAACGGG
rnacentral:rRNA from 1 species